UAAUGUGGAGUGUGGGUGUGUGCGACGCAGAGGAAGAACAAGAGAAGGGAAGAAACCCUUCUUCCCCAAUUCAUCAAAAUCCAACAAAUUGGAUGCGUUUUUGGUCAAGAUUUGAAUGCAUGUGAUCAAUUUAUCAACCAUCUAAGAGUUUCCAACCUAGGGAAUCAAAGAUGAAGGAGGAAGCUCCGGUUCGCAACAAAAAUCUCAAGAACGAGGUAAAACUCAAGCUUAGGUGUUAUUGCCUCGCUCGGACCGAACACACUAUGAACGCCUUUUAUGCGCUUCCGCAACUUUUGAAGUAUCAUCAAUGGGUCAAAUACUUUUGUAAAAUAGGUCAUGUUUGGUAGUUAAAAACUCUAAACUUGAUGUUUUAAAUCUUUUGUCAAAAUUCUAGUUGUAGUGGAUGUUUGGAAGGUCUUUAAAAUGUUAUGGUUUUCA